AUUGAACGCUGGCGGCAGGCCUAACACAUGCAAGUCGAACGAGUGGCGGACGGGUGAGUAAUGUCUGGGAAACUGCCUGAUGGAGGGGGAUAACUACUGGAAACGGUAGCUAAUACCGCAUACCAUCAGAUGUGCCCAGAUGGGAUUAGCUAGUUGGUGGGGUAACGGCUCACCAAGGCGACGAUCCCGAGCUGGUCUGCGAGGAUGACCAGCAACACUGGAACUGAAACACGGCCCAGACUCCUACGGGAGGCAGCAGGGGGGAAUAGUGCACAAUGGGCGCAAGCCGGAUGCAGCCAUGCCGCGUGUAUGAAGAAGGUCUUCGGGUGGUAAAAUACUUUCGGCGGGGAGGCGUUACCUGCAGAGAAAGCACCGGCUAACUCCGUGCCAGCAGCAGCGGUAAUUC
rnacentral:rRNA from 1 species